UCAGUUAAUUCUGAGGCGGCACACCAGACCGCACCUCAAGAAGUGUUGGGCACUUGCCCCUCUCCGGAUACUCAUGUCGCACAACCAGCGCUUCCCAACCCUUUCACUAGCAGCUGCGCCCCGGCCGCCAGACGCACUUCGUGCGCCGCGCCGCCCGCCCCUCCACUGCGGGUGAGGGCGUGCGAGCGCGCAAAGCCGGCGCCGGUUCCAUACUUGCACACUCACGAUGUGGCUCUUCUAGGUGGGUGACCUCCACACACAGGCACGAGGGCUUGUAUUAGGCUGGGGCUCGCGUCACGGCCCCCUACGUCACCCGACUAACCGGUCGACAUAACGACAAACGGAACGACUGUACACAAGGGCCAACGCUGUACGAAGGGCAAGCCGCGGGGCUCCCAUACGUGGCAGGCCGCAGGAGGGCCGCACACACCUCCCGCCGUCAAGCAGCACGCGGCGGCUUACGCCCCAGCGAGCACAGGCGCCCCAUCACCGUGCGACUCGACAUACUCACGGCUCAGCAACACCCGCCCCCAACUGUGGGCACCGCAAUCACGCACCUCAGGCAGGCGGCGCCGUCCCUCACGGCCGCCACCCCAGGCCCCCCAAGAAACCCGCCUCCUCUGCGCCAGCGCCAGGCCAGUCAGUGCAGCAGCAGCCCGCGCGCACGCCGCCCGCCCAAGCGGGCCGGCGGCCGCUCGGCUGCAAGCAGCAGGGCGGACGGGAAGCCGCGCCACGACGCCACGCAAGCAGCGCUGCGGCGCGCUCCUCCCCCGCCACGCCUCUGUCCUCGCUUUCGCCCAAGCAGCCCGUUUAGCACUCCUCCUCGGAGUCGGUCACGACCUCGCCACGCUCCUUGCGCGCCUUGCGCAGCUUCUCCAGCGCCUUCUUCUCCUUGUUCGACAUCUUCUCCUUCUUGGGGCCCUUCACCUUGAUGGUGUUGCCGAAGGCGUCAAUCACCUCAUCCUGCUGCUUGAUCUCCACCUUCUCCUUAAUGGCGAUCAGGUUGUCACCCUCGCGCACCAUCUUGCCGCCGCCCACGAUCCACCGCUCAUUGCACAGCGCGGACACGAACUCGUUGUGGUGAGAGAUGACGACGAUGCCGCCGCCGAAGUCCUUGAUGGCGCCGGCCAGAGCGCCCAGCGAGUCGCGGUCCAGGUAGUUGGUGGGCUCGUCCAGCACGAUCAGGUGGGGGUUCUGCCAGGUGGCGGCAGCCAGCACGACCUUCACCUUCUGGCCGCCCGACAGGCCGCGGAUGUGGCUGUGCAGGGCGAACUCCGACUCCAGGCCCAGGUCCUCCAGGUGCUUCUGGAUCGAGGCGGUGGUGAGCGGGCGGGUGAACAGGCCCAGCGCGGCGGCCUCCUUGAUGUCCAGCUCGUUCACCAGCUUCUCGUAGCCCAGCUCCACCAGGGUGUCGCGGGGCAGCCAGCUGGUCUGGUCGGCGGCGGUGUUGGCCCACUGCACCUCGUACUCGUACGACUUCUUCAGCUUGCGGCGAGCCAGCAGCUUCUCCACCGAGCGCUUGACCUGUUGUGUGAAGAGGAGCGAGGAAAAUGGGAGCGCGGCGUGAAUCACGUGGAGGAGGACACAUGGCAGCCUGCGGGACCUAUUACUGAUGCUUGACCAAGCUCGCUCGCCAUCUGACCCGUCCCCACGUGUACUGAUGCAACUCCAAUUUGCCCUCCAUUACAGCUCCUCUCCCGACACGCCUGCUCCUGCUCCACGUGGGCCCAGCAAACCUGCCCUGCUCCUCCUCCCUGUCCUGCUCGCCCUUCCUCUCACCUUCGGGUCGUCGCCGAUCUGCACCUUGUUCUCCUGCAGCUUCUUCUGCUCCUCCUCGGUCAGGCGGGUCUCCUUCUCCUGGGCCUCGCGGUCCUCACCGGGGGCGAAGCGCCACUGGAUGUACUCGUUGGGAGUCUGCGCGGGAACAGAAAUACGAGGAUGGCGGGUCAGGCGGGGUCAAUCAACCAUCAAUACCGUCACUGCUUGUCAGGACGGCCGACGCAGCAUCGAGCUGUCGAGACACUCAUACCCACGCCUAAGCCCGGGCGAACCACCCCCUCCCACCCACCUUGUCCAGGUGCUUCUCCAGGUGGUGGAAGGCGUGCUGCGCCACGUAGGCGAUGCGCAGGUUGGGGUGCUUCCACACGGUGCCGGCCACGGGCUCCACCUCGCCGGUCAGCACCUUGAUCAGGGUCGACUUGCCGGCGCCGUUGGGGCCAAUGCAGGCCACGCGCGACGACAGGGUGCAGUAGGCGGUGGCGCCCUCGAAGAUCAUGCGGUCGGUGUUGGGGUACUUGUAGGACACGCGGUCGGCCUUCAGGAUGGCCUUGUCCUUGGUCUUGACACCCUCCAGGUAGCCGGGCUCGGGCAGCUUGAAGGUCAGGGUGGAGGCAGUCAGCUCGUAGUAGGCCUUGGCCUCGGGCUUCUGCUCCACGAACUUCGAGAGGUUGCCCUUGUACACGCGCAGCUUGCGGUUGUUGUAGUCGAUGAUGUGCGUGCACACGUGGUCCAGGAAGCCGGAGUCGUGCGACACAAUGAUGGAGGACACCUCGUCCAGGCCCACCAGGUAGUCCUCCAGCCACUUGACGUUGUGCACGUCCAGAUGGUUGGUGGGCUCGUCCAGGAGCAUGAUGUCGGGCUUCAUCAGCAUGGUGCGGGCCAGCGCCAGCUUCAUCUUCCAGCCGCCGGACAGCGAGCCCACGGCCUUGUUCAGCAGCUCCUCGGUGAAGCCGACGGACGAGAGCAUGCUGGUCACCUGCUCCUUGGUGGUGUUCACGGCGGCCUGCAGGUUCUCGUCGGCGAAGACGAACUCCACGCAGUUCAGGUCCGACAGCGAGCCGUCGAUGUCGUGCUCCACGUACACGGUGCGCAGCACGUCCUUGGGCGGGAAGCCGUCCACCUGGCCGUUGGCAAUGGCGCGCAUCAGCGUGGACUUGCCCACGCCGUUGGGGCCGCACAGGCCGUAGCGGCGGCCACGCUUCAGGCGCAGCGCGGCGUUGUUGAGCAGAAUCUUGGCACCGUACGCCAGCGAGAACUCGCAGUUGCACAGCUCCUCGCCCUCCUCGUCGUCGAAGUACUCGGUGGACUUGACCUGUGCGCGCGUGGGUCGGUGGCGUGAGGAGAGGCAGGUAAGUGCUGAAAACAUGGUCGGGUGCCCAGUUUUCCACGCGUUGUGAGGCUUCCAAACACCGUUCACGGCGUCAGGACGCCGAGUCACAUACACACACCCUCGCACGUGCACAUGAGCCCUGUCACCUUCCCGUCCGCUCACCUGCACCUCGGCGAAGCACUUGUCGGCCAGGGUCUGAGCGAUGGGGGCCAGGGUGUCCUUGGACACGAACACGCCCAGGUAGGUGCCGAUCACCUUGUCGCGCCACUCCUCAAUCUCGAAGUUCUUGUUGUUGGUCAGGUUGGCGCACAGGGCGGCGGCGUAGUCCAGCACGGGGUAGGCCUCGGGGACCAGGCCCUUCUUGCCCUCGGCGGUGGCCGCCAGCAGGUCGUGCAGGGUCUUCAGGGCGGCGCCCUUGUCCAGGGUCUUGGCCAGCUUGGCCUUGCCCUCGGUCUCGAUGUGCUGCAGCGUCUUGAUGGCGCUGUUCGACACCUUGCGCAGCUCGGGGUCAGCGGCCUCGUUGGCCACCUGUUGGUCGGGAGGGGCAGAGAGCGGGAAGGGGUGAGGGGAGCGGCACCAACAUGCGGUACACGGAGCACAAACCACCUUGCAGACAGCAGUGGCGCCAUGCAUUCUCCCACCUCGAGCCCCACCAGGCAGCCGCCCCGCAACUCCGACACCCGAUUACCGCCGUCCCUUUCACCAGCCACCCCACUUCGCACCCAGGCUCACCUUCUCGAUCUCAGGCAUCAGGCGGGGCAGGAACACCAGGGCCUCAGCCGGGUUGUCCACCAGCUUAGCCAUGUUGUCAGCCACCACGGCGGCCUUGCGCUUGAUGGCGGUCACGCGCUCGCGCAGACCGCGCAGCAGCAGGGGCACCAUCAUGGCCAGGGCGGGGGCCUCAACCUGUGUUGGAUUGAAUUGAGAUGAGCGGCGAGGCAACGCGGUCAGCCGGGGUACUUGCGGCUAGUUUUGUCAGUCCCCCGAACCUCACGCCCGAAGCUGCUAGCCAGGCAAACCGUUCGCGUUGGUGGGGCUCACUCGGAGUAGCCUACUUGCUGCUGGCACGGUGCCCCUCUCACUUCCUGGGAAAGCUUACGCCCAAAGCGCCCCGCUGCAUCUCUUUCAACAGGUCAAGUCACGCUCGCUAGCCAGGUACCAAGCACCCCGACUCACCGCCUGCACGAAGGUGGUGGAGGCCAGCUUGUGCACGGUCUCCUGCACCUCCUCGGGGUGGUUGAUGGAGCGGAUGAUCAGGGGCACCAUGGCGUUGAUGUCGCGGUUGCCCACCAGCGUGCAGGCCUCCUUCAUGGUCUCGGUGGCCACGUCCUGUGGAAGGCGACAUACAGAGGGACAGGCGGCAUGGUUGUCACAACGUGUCGAGCAGUGGCGGAGGUCACCGCAACGUGCAUGCUUCGGCCCCAACCAGCCCCCCCUCAAAAAACGCGAGCCCCGCGUGCGCGAAACCAUUUGCAUGACCCUGACACCGAUUCCCUUUUCGAACCGCGCCUUAGCAGCGCCCCAUCCCCAGCCCCCGUCCAAAUCCCAUUCCAUACAAACGCCUUCGCGGCUUACCUUGACGCUCUGCUUGGAGUCGUUCAUGCAGCCGGAGACGGCGGGCACGAUGUCGGGCAGGGCGCGGGUAAUCUGCUUGGGGUGCAUGCCCACCAGCUGCUUCACCAGCAGCAGCGAGGCCUCCUUGGUGGCGGGGUGCUUCUUGGCGUCCAUGCACUCGAACAGGUAGCCCAGGAUGGUGUACACGGCGUGGGGGUUGAUGAUGCUGAUCAGCGCCUUGGAGGCGGCCUCAGCGGCGGCCUUCACCUCGGGCUUCUGCUCAGGUUGGCGGUGUGGGGAGGGGAGGAAGCAGGGGUUUGCGGGAAAAAGAGCUGGGGAGUGGGUGGCCGGCUGGACUACUGAUGUGGGUGCACAGAGGCGCGUCACAACCUCCCCCACAGUUGAUGGCGGCCCAUCGCUGGUCCCUGUGGCUGGUUGAAACAGCCCUGUAUAACCCUGCGCACCUUGUCACCGCACUGCUCCAGCACGGCGGGCAGCAGGGGGGCCAGGAAGGGCUCAGCAGCGCUGCCGAUGUUGUCGCAGAUGGCCUGGUAAGCAGCAAGACCAGCCUGACGGGCAGCGGGGUUGGCCUUGUCCUCGAUGGCCGCCUUCAG
rnacentral:lncRNA from 1 species